ACUGACAGCCAUGGUUACCGCGGCUGCUGGCACGGAGUUAGCCGGUGCUUCUUCUGUGAGUGAUGUCCUUCCUGCCGGCUAUUAACCCGCAGGCCUUCUUCCUCACUGAAAGUGCUUUACAACCCGAAGGCCUUCUUCACACACGCGGCAUGGCUGGAUCAGGGUUGCCCCCAUUGUCCAAUAUUCCCCACUGCUGCCUCCCGUAGGAGUCUGGGCCGUGUCUCAGUCCCAGUGUGGCUGAUCAUCCUCUCAGACCAGCUACGGAUCGUCGCCUUGGUGAGCCGUUACCUCACCAACCAGCUAAUCCGACAUAGGCUCAUCCGAUAGCGCGAGGCCCGAAGGUCCCCCGCUUUCCCCCGUAGGGCGUAUGCGGUAUUAGCCUGGGUUUCCCCAGGUUAUCCCCAACUACCGGGCAGAUUCCUAUGCAUUACUCACCCGUCCGCCGCUCGCCACCAGGGAGCAAGCUCCCCGUGCUGCCGCUCGACUUGCAUGUGUUAGGCCUGCCGCCAGCGUUCAAU
rnacentral:rRNA from 1 species